rnacentral:rRNA from 1 species
UACAGAGGGGGCAAGCGUUGUUCGGAAUUACUGGGCGUAAAGGGCGCGUAGGCGGCCUGCUAAGUCGAACGUGAAAUCCCCGGGCUCAACCCGGGAACUGCGUCCGAUACUGGUUGGCUUGAAUUCGGGAGAGGGAUGCGGAAUUCCAGGUGUAGCGGUGAAAUGCGUAGAUAUCUGGAGGAACACCGGUGGCGAAGGCGGCAUCCUGGACCGAGAUUGACGCUGAGGCGCGAAAGCCAGGGGAGCAAACGGG